AUGGCUGCAACUUUUCACUCUGUCAUUUGCAAGAUCCUUGUUAUUGCUAUGGUUUGUGCUGCCCUCCUUUUCUCAUCAGCGCAGUACAUGUGCAUGGGCAAAUGCGCGGACAUACCCGACUGCGACAACUAUUGCAAGACGAAGGGAGUGUACCCCAAGGGAGGGGUGUGCCUGCCCCUCCACCAUUACUGCUGCUGUUACAUUUAG
rnacentral:rRNA from 1 species